CCGAUUCGUCCAGCGCUGUCUCCUGAAGAGCCGCUCCCGUAAGCCCCGGGGGAUUUGCCGCGCGCUGCCGCCCCUCUGCCCGGCGUUUUCGCAGCAGCCCCUCCUGGGCCCCUCCAGCGCGUCUCUGGCUGAUCCGGUGUCGUAAUCCUGGGUUCUGGCAUCGGAGCCGUUGCUAUGGGGAUCUCACCCGCCGAUUCAGCAUUUUGUCGGAGUUCAGUGUGUGCAGAUCUCAAAGAACCUCCCUCCCAGCACCACUGAGGUGCUGAGGAUGCCCCUGAAACGGCCUCAGACUCGACUUGGACUAUGGGUUCCAUCCGUAGAGUUGGCCUCACUGACAGCAUUACAGGAAGGCUUCGAGGCAGCUCCCUGUGACCAUGUGGCGAUCGGACCAUCCCUGGCAUCCCACUUUGUGGGUGAGGAGACUGCCUCCUAACUGUGGGCUAGAGUCUCAGAUCUGCGAUCUGAGCUGGGAGGAGAGAUGAGGUCCCCAUACACUCAGGGGCAUCGGCAACCAGAGAGGAAGCAGCAGGCUGGAGAGCAGGAGAUCCCACAUUCAUAGCCGGGCGCUGACAGAGAGGAGGAGCCGAGGGUAGGCUCUGGCCCUCCUGGUUUCUGGCCACAGGAAAGGGAGAAAUGGCCAGUGAGCCACACUCACAAACACUGCGACUCUGCCCACGGAGUGGAAGACCGAGAAACCAGAAGGUACUUUGAAUUUCCUCCCACGGGGACAACACCCACAUCAAACAGGGAAGCUCAGCUUUUAUUGGGCUUAUAUACUGGGGCUGCUAGGGAAUCCUUAAGACCUCAUUUGAAAAGGGUUUUCUCAGCUCCAAUAACAGCUAAAAAUGAAGCAAAAACCAAAGCCCCAAAAUGCUUAAGCCGACAUAAGACAGCAGUGCACUGCAUCCUUCCAGUGAGCCUCCAGGGCUACGGUGUUUCCCGGCCCAGCUCUGAUACGGCUCAAGCAGUAGAAGCUCAUGGGUCUGUUCGCUGAGGGGUCAGGGGACUGCAGUGUGGAUGUCUCGUGUUGCUAAGGGCCUUUCAGAUGCUUUGAACAGCACACCAGAAACAAAGCAAAGCAAAACCAAACCAUAUAAUUGUGUUUGGAGAAGACCAAUUGAGUACAUGUUAAGUACCUCUUAUGGGAUGAAGGGUCCUC